UGGAAUAUUGGUGAGGGGUAGUUCUGAGCUGGAGCCACGAGAGGAGAUGCGAUCGUAGGCACCGGCUUUAUAGGAGUUACAGUUUCAGACUGGGUGUAGGGAAAGCGCUCAUCCCUUCUGCAGUGCUGUCAGUGGUCCCACCAGGUCUGGGGAAAUCCUGAGCUGGUGUAACAAAACGCCUCUGGGUGACGGACCACUGGAAAACUGAACUAAGAGGCACCGAGUGGCUGCAGGGAUUUCUGCGGCGUCGCUGCGGUGAUGCUGGCACUGCUGGCUGAACUGCUGGCCACAUCUGUGCUGCUGGGUGAGGAACAGCUGCCUGGGCUGCGAGCAGGGACUGAGGAGAGUCGCUGUCAGGCUGCAGCAGCAGUGUGGGCUUCUUCGUAUGGCUGGCGAGCGAAGCUGAGCAGAACUUCCUUCGUCUUCACUGCCCUAAGGGUUAAACCUGCGAGUUCACUCCUGCCUGCCUUCCCAGCAAGGCUCAGAGGAAGAUUAAGGGCAUAAAGCCGCUGCGCUGCGUUGGACUGUAAUACGUCAUUCAAUACCAAAUCUGUAACGGAGACAUGGCAAAAUACAAAGGUGGUAUUUAAUACAAGAGGUGAUUAAUUUUCACCAUUUCCAGGGUCUGCCCACAGCAGCCGACCAGCUAAAGGCAUUCAGGUCACAAAUGCACUCAUCAUUUAUUAAUGGUGGUAGCAAUCCAAGUACAUCCAAACGCCAUUCCUUGGCUAUAGCCUUUAGUUUGCCAUCAUGCUGUAGUUUAGUAAAGGCCACGCAGCGCAUCGUUUGGCCUCUGCUUUAAAAGAAGAGUGUGUGGCAUUUUGCUUUGGUAGGCUGGGGUGGGCAUGGUCUUGGCCUCUGAAAGAUGGGAAGGGGUGUUUUACAAACGAGUGCAGUACAAUGCCACAGUGUGGGCAUUCCUUAAUAAACUCCGUGCCCCACAACUGAAAAAACACUCUGAGGCAGUAUUAUUCACACAGAGUUACUCUAAUGAUUUCCCUUUAGAGGAACAGCACUGCUUAUUUCACUACAGAAUAACUAAAUUUGAGUAAAGCCCAUGCAAAGCCUAUCCCCAGGAGGUUUGUACAGUUUUGUAACACUGUCUCCUGUGCUGUGUAUGUCGUGCCCCCCUGGAUUUCCUUUGCCAGCAACUCAAACAGAAAAUCAAAGAUGGAUUUUGGUCCCAGUGGAUUUGCUAUUAUGAAUGAAGGUCAGAUUGUUCUUACGGCUGCUUUGUGCUGCUGAAAAAUACAGCGCAGGUUGUUUUGAGAGCACCUAAUUCUGAAAUCCAUCUUGCUGAAGUGAUUGCUGGUAGAGGUGACCUGCAAGAGAGACAAGUCUUCCCUUGUGCAGCUUUACAAUGGAAUGAAAGCCGUCGGCUGCACGUGAGCUUGGUCUGCCUGUUGGCCACCCCAGAAGAUGGAGCUUUGCCUUUGGAGGUGCAUCCAACUGUGCAGUGAGACGGCAGAGCAAGGAGAUGGCAAGAAAAGGAAACGGGCACUUUUAGUUACACCUUGAAAAUUUCUGCUUGCAGCUUUAAAAUAUACUUGACUUAAACGAGCAACUUUUGGCACAGAGGAAAUUCAUCCUAAUGAUUCCAGCAGCCUUUCAUCUGUAAGGUGGCAAAAGCUCAAAGAACACGUUUCUGACCUCCCAAAAGUUCUUCAAGAAAAACAGGAAAGACCAAACUCUACAGCUUGAAUGUCUGGAAAGGACCCAGCUCCCUGUAUGCCUUACGGCAGCGAGAGGUCACGGCUCCAACGCUGCUUGGAAGACGCCUUCCAGAAAGUCACGCUUACGAAGUGGACACCGAGGACUGGCGCUGCGAUGCUUGCUGUGUUUGCUAUGGAGAGUGAAAAUAACACCUAAGAAAUGAGCAGGAACACAUUACACAGCCCCGGUGCUCUUGAAAUCGAAGCGUAAGAAGGAAAUGGGACCGAUGCCAGCCUGUGCUCCUGGAGAACGGGGCUGGGAGAGGUGAGGGCAUCACUCUGCUGAGCCAGGGAGGAGGGCAGCAGAACUCUGCUUCUUUCAUGUUGCCUGCAAACUGCUGGCUGCCACAAUGGAGCGAGCUCCUGCUUGUGCCCAUUCGGGGUGUUUUCCCCCUGGUCAUAGCAUCAGGCAGCAAGAACCAAAAAUGCAAUGGGUGCAGCACGGUGCUGGGUGUCAGAUAAGGAUCACUGGCUCAGUAAAAAGCAAAACUUGCAGCUCUUUUUUCAGAAAGAAAAUGAAAUCUAAGAUGUAUGUGGUGAUGAUUUUAGAAGAGAUAACUUGUAUAAAUGUGGGUUAGCAAAUGAUUGAACAACGGUGACUCAUGUUUUAUGAUCAGACCUGACUGUAGCAGUGUUUAUGUGCGUUUCAGUUUGUUGACACGUUUGUAGCAAUACCUUCUCAUGAAGAUGAUCCCACAUGCAGGCAUUAUGUUUGAAAAACCAAUACGGUAAAUGCAGGUGAGGAUUCAUCAAAGUCUGAGCUCUUUAGAAUGGAAGCUUUAAGCACAGACUUGGUGGAAGGGUUUGGUUUUGCUCUAUAAACUGCUGAUGGCAAAGAGCUGGUGGCUGUCUGCCCCCAGGGUGGGCCAGCGGGGCUGCAGUGUGUGCACUGUGUGGCCCUCUGGUGAGUUGGACACUGCCUCCAGUUCUGUGCCAUCCAUGAGUUCUUGAGGAUGCCCUCUGUCCCAUCAUCUGGAUCGUUAAAGAUGUGAAACAGACUGGACCCAAUAAUGACCCUGGGACACUCUGCUUGUUGCUGGCCUCCAGACAGGCUGCACCUCUCACCAAGACCCUCUGGGCCCGGCCAUUCAACUCAUUUUUGAUCCACCUCUCUUUCUGCUCAUCCAGCCCAUACUUCAGCAGCUUCUCUCUGAGGAUCUUACUGGAGAUGGAGUCAAAGACCAUACUGAAAUCCAGGGAGACAGUAUUCACUUUUCCUCCCCAUCCAGGAGGCUGAUGAUUUCAUUAUAGAAGCUUAUCAGGUUGAUCAGGCACAGCUUCUUCUUGGUGAAUCCACUCUGGCUAUUCCUGAUGUUUUUCUUCUCUUUCAUGUGCCUGGAAAUGGUUUUCAGGGUGAGCUGCUCCAUCACCACCCCAGGGACUAAAGUGAGACUGACCAGCCAGCCAUUCUCCAAGUGCUCCUUCUUGCCCUUUUUGAAGACAGGAGUGACACUUACUUUUCUCCAGCCUUCAGGCACAUCUCCCAGUUACCACGAUUGACCAAAGAUUAUAGAGAAUGGCCUCACAAUCACGUAUGGGUGCAUUUGGUCAGGGCCCAUGGACUGGAAGAUGUCCAUGGAGAAGGUGAUCCUUGAAUGCUAACCAGCUCUCUUGGGCCUCUCUUCCCUGCAGGGCCUUACCCCACAAGACUACCCAGCAGAUCCUUGGAGAGGCCCAAGUCUGCUCUACAAAGGUUCAGGGUUGUGAGCUGGCAUUUAUCGCUCCUCCUUGCUCUUGGGAUCCCAACCUCCUCCAUUUUGUGGUCACAACAGCCAAGAUUGCCUCCAUCCUCCACAUCCCCAGCGAGCCCCUUGUUGCUGGUGGCCACAAGGUCCUCUCCUUUUGGUUCCUUUGUCGCUUGGAGGAGGAAGCUUUAAGAACACUCCAAGAACCUCCUGGUUUGCUUAUGUCCCAUGUGGACUGGUGGCACUGGUCGGCCACCCUCACCCUUGUCCCCUUAUCUCCUGCUCCUACUUGUGUGCUGCUGUUUUUCCAUCUGAAUCAUUUAUCAUGGCCUCGGAGCACAGCAGAGCUGUGAUUUGCGCUGAAGCCGCCAGCCUGCAGGAAACAGCAGGGCUCUAAGAAAAGGGAGGCUCCGGUUACAACUUCCCUCUUACUUACUGCUCCUGGCAGCACAGAAGCAGAACUGCCGUGAAUGAGAUGGAGCCUCAACCACGUGCAUCCCUGAGACACAAACACAGGCUGCGAAUCCCGCAGUACCGCUCCAUCCCUGCUUAUGAAUCCUCCCGAGAUGCCUUGGCUUUAAGGAGCACACGCAGCUUUCCUCCUAAAGCCAGCCAGCUGCACUGGUUUUGUCUCCUGCUCCUAUUGCACCCACAACCUCUCUGGGCAGCCUGUGCCAGCGCCUCACUGCCCUCUGAGUAAAGAAUUGCACCCCGACAUCUAAGCUAUAUUUCCCCUUUUAGUUUAAAGCCAUUCCCCCUUGUCCUAUCACCAUCAGACCAUGUAAAAGCCACUCCUCCUGCUGCUUGUAAGCUCCCCUCAAGUCCUGGAAGGCCGCUUGUUGGUGUACAGGCGUUUGGAGGACUUUGGUCAAGCAAAACGUGGGGCAACACUGUGUAAGCAGGGAUGCAUAACAUUAUUCCUGUUGCCUCAGAUGUAUUCUUUUAUAAAGAAAAGUUGUUCUGUGAGUGUGGAUAGGCCUGUUUUUGGGGUGCCGGUCCCACACGUGGUGUGCAGCUGAUGCCCCUACAUGACAUGGAGGGCCAGCGUUGCCACCCCCAAGCUGUGGGGCUGUGGGGUUGAGGCUGUGGGGUUGAGGCUCUGCUGGCCCAGCACAACCCAUCUGUCUGCUCGUCUUUCACUUUCUCUUUUUGCAGUGGUGGGUGGGGCUGCGGUUACCUUGGUCGAUUACUUACAGUUUGAAUGGGAAUCACAAACAAAGGAUGUGUUUAAUAAGAAGAAUGUUUUCAGCGCUGUUUCUAAAGCCAUGAGCACUCUGCAUUGUUGGUGGGUGACGUCUUUUUUAAUGCACUUCCCCCCAUGUUUUGUUUUUCAGGAGGCAGAGAGGCACACACAAACACAGCUCACAUCCUGGGACGCAGCACACGCACAGUGUGCUCACAGCUCAGCAGCGAGUGGUGCUAUUGGGGUUCAGAUUUACCAUAUUGCUUCUCUGGGAGCUGGUGAAAAAGGCAGCGGUGUUCACGUGUGCCAAACUGCAAAGAGGUGACUGUGCUGCGAAGUGAAUGUGAGCUGUUCUCAGCACCUGGACCUUGGACCCUGCUUCCUCACCAUCUCCAUUGUCCCCAUUAUCUCUAUCAUCCCACCAUCCCUAUCAUUCUUAUCACCCCCGUGAUGCCACGACACUCAUUGUUCCCAUCAUCCCUAUUAUAUCCACCACUCCUAGCAUUCUUAUCAUGGCUAUGAUCCCAUGAUACUCCUCAUUCCCAUCAUCCCAUCAACUCCAUUCUCCCCAUCAUUACCAUCAUCCCCAUCAUCUCCAUUGUCCCCAUUGCCCCCAUCAUCCCUUGUCCCCACUGUCCCCAUCAUCCUCAUCACUUUCCAUCAUUCCCCAUCAUCCCCACUGUCUCUAUUUUCCUCAAGUCCCCAUGGAUGGCAUCCAUUCUGAGAUGCUAAAAACACCUCUUUCUGAAAUACUGAAAAAUAAAUGAGGUGGAUUCUUUUGUUUUA